rnacentral:misc_RNA from 1 species
UCUCCGUAGGUGAACCUGCGGAGGGAUCAUCACAGAGUUCAUGCUCUACCGGGUAGAUCUCCCACCCUAUGUUAUUAUUACUUUGUUGCUUUGGCGGGCCGUUAGGCUCCGGCCCGACUACCGGCCCCGGCUGGUAAGCGCCCGCCAGAGGACCCAAAACCCUGAAUAUUAGUGUCGUCUGAGUACCAUAUAAUAGUUAAAACUUUCAACAACGGAUCUCUUGGUUCUG